rnacentral:lncRNA from 1 species
AAAAAAAAUAAUAAUAAUAAUAAUAAAAUAAUAAAAACACGGAGAGGAGGAGGAGAAGUAGGGGCUGGCUGUGGGGCGAGGAAGUCCUGCAGCCUGGUGCGGCUCCGGCCCCUCCGCCAGCUGCGUGCGGUCCCGAUUCAGCCCCGGCGGCGGAGGACGGGAGGAAAACCCGCGGCGUCCUGCAGCAAUCCCUCCGUUCCCGCGGCUCUGAUUGGCCUGCCUUCCCCACACGGCUCGCCUUCCCCUCCUGCUGCCUCCUUCUCCCUCUUGGGAAAAGUAAUUGGAGAGCCGAAGCUUCACCUUCAGCACCAGCAGCAGCAGCAGCAGCUCCGCGCAGGGGCCGCCCAGCCGGGGGGCGGAGGGGGAGCCCGCCCUGCUCCUGCUCCUGCUCCUGCUCCUACUCCUGCUCCUGCUCCUUCCCCUUCUCCUUUCUCCGCUCGUCGCCCCCCUACCGAGCCCGCUUGGAGAGGGUCUGGCCGGGCUGCGGGGCUCCGGCCGCCUGCCGCCCGCCCCCACGGCUCGGCUGGGCUCGGCACGGCUCUCCCUCCCCUCCCGUGCCCACCCUUCCCUUGCCGGGCAGCGGGCGGGGGGCUGCCAAGUUUCGGCACACACACACGUGGGAGGCGGCGGGGAGAAGAGGGGCACCCCCGCACCUCCCCCGGGACCGCCGCGAUGGGGACGGGCGAGGAGACCCCCGACGGCUCCCCCGGGGCGCGGGGCAGGGGUCGCGGCGGCUGGAGCUGGGGCAGGGGCAGGGUAGGGGCAGGAGGGACGCGGCGGCGCCGGCAGCCAAAAGCUGGACUGUGUCUCCCUCCAGAGGGAGAAGGGAGGCACUCCCGGCAGCGGGGAAGCCCGCUUUCCCCCGGCGGUGCCUGCCCGUGGGCUCCCGGGCUGGCUCCGUGCUGCCGGGCUUGGGGGGUUUUAGGGGAAUUUAUUAGGGGUCAGAGCCUGAAGGGCUCUUCUCCUGCUGCCCAAAGCCGGGAGAGCCCAGCGGUGGCUCGCCACGGCUGCUGA